UUUUCAGGAGCAGGGAGAAUAGGCCCAUUGUCUCCCUGACGGCGCGUUCCCCGGUGUGAUUAGAACAACUGAGAACCCAGAGCGCGCUCCCGACUCCAGCCACGAAUGCAGAGUGGCCCAGCCACACAGCGUCAAGGUCCCAAGGACGUGAAUUCAGAAAUGACGAAAUCACAGACGUCAACAACACCUUGCCUCCCUCCACGCCAGGCUUCCAUCCAGAUGGAGUGAAUCCUCCCUUAUCGACAGCACCUUCCUCUGUGACCUGACUCAAGCCCUGCAGUGCUCGGGGUCCCUCUGAGAGCCUCUGAACUACCCUGCCUGCUCCUGCUCGCCCCUGGGUCACCGACAACCAGGAGCGUUUGCACGGUUUUGCAGACUUCCCAAGACACUUCCACUCGUGAUUUUGUCCCGGCCUCGUGAAACUCUGAGAGCAACGUUUCUUGCAAGCAGCCCAUUUCCCAACAACGUUGAAUUGUCCAUGUGGCAGAGAGAUGCCAGCGGGAUAAAUGCACGGACACAGAGGACUGUCCAUGGGAAGGUAACACCGGGCAGCCUCUGCGCCUGCAGGGGCAAAAUAUGUUGGUCUGGAAAUGUGGGGAGUCUCUGAGUCCAAAAACCUCCGCCAGCAAAAGCCUCUCACUCGCUCACCCUGGACUCCCUUUGCAUAGUAAGGCGCUCUCCACAGGGCUGAGGGAGAGACGCUGGGGGUCCCUCUCCCCUUUCCUGCUGAUCCCAAAGCCUGGCAUCAUACUCGAGGAAAAUAUGAAUGUGCAAACUAAAACAAUCAACAGGUACCAGGAUCUCCUUUUGGAAAGUCCGUCUUACUAACAGAGACACGUGUUGAACAGCGGUGCCGCUGGACGGAGGUGGUGAGGGAAGGGUGGCGGGCGGUCGGGUCGGUUGGCGCACGGCACACAGUGAAGGGGCAGAAGGGAAUGGAAAUCCCUGAUGGGGCUGCCCUCGUGGGGGCUGCAGGGACCCCCGAGGAGCCCCCCAGGCUCUCCGGGACAUGGCGAGGAGACGCGAUCUUAUCUCCGUGGGCAGUGGUCGCAGCGGCGGAUGGGCAGGACCAGCCCUGGGAGGGCCUAGCCACACUGGGGCGGAAAGACGCACUGAGAACCGACGAUCUGGUGGAAGCUGGUGGACGUGGGGCCUCUCACGCGUCAAAGAGCACACGACCCCACCGGCUCCCACAGCCACAACCAGAUGCUGACCGCACAGGCCGGGCUGGCCGAGGCCUUGCCUUUCUGCCCAGCUCCCAGGGAGGCUGCAGCGGCCGCUGCUGCUGGCGCGGCGUAUGCACGGAGGAGCGGCCCCAAGACGUGGCGGCCCAGCCAGGUGUCGGGUCAUGCCCGCACCGUCUGAUGGUGGCCAGAGUGGACUGCGGGAGCUAAGGGCACAGGUGAGGCUUUCCUCCCGGGAAAGUCUCCAACCAGACAGCACGGGGGAUGCUGAGCUGAGACCUCUGGUCGUUCACUCCGCCGCAGCCAGCCUCCCCGAGCCGGAUGGUCUCUUUCUUACUGACCUUUCACGUGCCCUCAAGUGGUUCUGUGGCGGCAUCUGAGUGUGAAGGGCAUCUUUUUCCUUCCCAUUUUGCUCCUUCCCUCCUUCCUUUUUUUUUUUUUUUUUUUUUUUAAUGGGAGGGAGGUUUUUAUGCCGGUCUCUGAGUUCGGACAUUCAGUACAAGUUCUUAUUUUUUUAAGGUUUUACAUCCUCUCCCUCGAUGGAUAUGUGACAAUACAGUCUGAUUGUUCUAAUCACGGCACGUAUGGCAAAUAAUGACUAAUGAAACUUGGUGCAAUGUGGCAUAUGGGAGUUCGCCGAUUGCUUUUGCUCACACUUUCUCUUUUAAUCCUUGCGAUGCUCUGGGAGAAUCUAGCAUGUGUUCCAUUCCACAUUCCAGGGACAAAGUCCAAGCCAAACAUGGCAUUUUCUGAGAAUCUUGCCUUUCUCAUCCCAUGGACCAAAUAAGCAGGCUGACAUUUUAAAAUAUGUUUAUCCCCAAACCGGUUUACUGGCACCAUACAUGAGAAUGCUCUGUGCGGGGUUCCGGCAACGUGGAAGCUUCAGGAACAGGGAGGCGAGCCCAGGAGAAAGUGAUGCGCCCACGGCAGGGCUCCUCGCCCCUCCUGUGCCUUGUCCGACAAGGCUGAAUGCAGAGAGGGCAGGCGUCCUCUGUCCACUGGGGCUCUCAGAGCUGCCCCAGGCUGGACCUGCUGUCUGAAUUGAAAUCACUCCACAGAGCUCACUCGGACGCCCUACCACACACCCCCACAAAUGGGCCCACCAGAGCUACUUCUUGGCAAGUAUGCCAGUGUCCACGCCUGUAGCCCUGAUUCUGAGAAGAGUUCAUGUGCCGAUCUAUUAAAGUUCACUUGGAAAGGAAGGACCCAAUUUUGGAUGGACCCAAGGAUGUCCUAAAAGUUUCCAUUUAGAACAUGCAUUUUUGCAUUGUAACUGACACAUUUUUUACCUGAAACCCAAGAAACAUGAAGGGUAAGUAAAACCACGUUCACUGUCCCCAGGUAAUCGGAAGGUAACAAGAAUUCAGAAUCCACAUUGGGGAGGGUAUGUGCUUUGGUGAGUGCUGUGAAGUGUGUAAACCUGGCGAUUCACAGACCUGUACCCCUGGGGAUAAAAAUAUAUGUUUAUAAAAAAUAAAAAAUUAAAAAAAAAAGAAUUCAGAAUCCACGCAAUGAAAAGAUUUCCUUUAAAAUUUAAGACACAAGAUCAUUUUUAAAUUGCUUUACACUCGGUGUAUUUCAGUGACAUCAAGAAGUCUGACGUGAGUUCCAGGGGAGUCACUGACACCUCCAGUCAGACAAAAUGUCCUCCCCAAGCAGAUGGAUGGUCCUACCCCUGCCCUGUUGGGAGGAGCCCGAGCGGACCUGCGCGGGGUGUCCUGAGUCUGUCCAGGCGGAGCUGGAAAGACCAGGUGGAUGAACGGCCCUCGGAGGGCGUCCGUCAGGACUCCGUACGUCUUCGAUGACAAUGCACCGGAGAGUCCUAUCUGACUUGUAGACCUUUUCUUGUAAAUGCCACCUGCAGGCCAUUCUUGUCAACACAUGCCCAGAAUUAUAAACAUCUCUGGUAUUUUAGGAUUGUGUGAAGGUUCUGUGAAUAUUAAAAAAACAAAAACAAAACAAACAA